ACGGGUGAGUAACACGUGGGCAAUCUGCCCUGCACUCUGGGACAAGCCCUGGAAACGGGGUCUAAUACCGGAUACUGACCACUACAGGCAUCUGUGGUGUUCGAAAGCUCCGGCGGUGCAGGAUGAGCCCGCGGCCUAUCAGCUAGUUGGUGAGGUAAUGGCUCACCAAGGCGACGACGGGUAGCCGGCCUGAGAGGGCGACCGGCCACACUGGGACUGAGACACGGCCCAGACUCCUACGGGAGGCAGCAGUGGGGAAUAUUGCACAAUGGGCGAAAGCCUGAUGCAGCGACGCCGCGUGAGGGAUGACGGCCUUCGGGUUGUAAACCUCUUUCAGCAGGGAAGAAGCGAAAGUGACGGUACCUGCAGAAGAAGCGCCGGCUAACUACGUGCCAGCAGCCGCGGUAAUACGUAGGGCGCAAGCGUUGUCCGGAAUUAUUGGGCGUAAAGAGCUCGUAGGCGGCUUGUCACGUCGGUUGUGAAAGCCCGGGGCUUAACCCCGGGUCUGCAGUCGAUACGGGCAGGCUAGAGUUCGGUAGGGGAGAUCGGAAUUCCUGGUGUAGCGGUGAAAUGCGCAGAUAUCAGGAGGAACACCGGUGGCGAAGGCGGAUCUCUGGGCCGAUACUGACGCUGAGGAGCGAAAGCGUGGGGAGCGAACAGGAUUAGAUACCCUGGUAGUCCACGCCGUAAACGGUGGGCACUAGGUGUGGGCAACAUUCCACGUUGUCCGUGCCGCAGCUAACGCAUUAAGUGCCACGCCUGAGGAGUACGGCCGCAAUGCUAAAACUCACAGGAAUUGACGGGAGCCCGCACAAGCGGCGGAGCAUGUGGCUUAAUUCUACGCAGCGCGAAGAACCUUACUAAGGCUUGAUAUACACCGGAAA
rnacentral:rRNA from 1 species